rnacentral:rRNA from 1 species
UCCUACGGGGGGCAGCAGUGGGGAAUAUUGGACAAUGGGGGGAACCCUGAUCCAGCGACGCCGCGUGAGUGAAGAAGUAUUUCGGUAUGUAAAGCUCUAUCAGCAGGGAAGAAAGAAAUGACGGUACCUGACUAAGAAGCCCCGGCUAACUACGUGCCAGCAGCCGCGGUAAUACGUAGGGGGCAAGCGUUAUCCGGAUUUACUGGGUGUAAAGGGAGCGUAGACGGCAUAGCAAGUCUGAAGUGAAAGCCCAAGGCUCAACCAUGGGACUGCUUUGGAAACUGUUAAGCUAGAGUGCUGGAGAG